rnacentral:lncRNA from 1 species
CUGUAGCUCGAACUGUCCAUCAAGGGGAGGGAAGAGAAGGUUGAAGGGAUUAAAAAAAAAAAAAAAAAAAACCGGUACGCCUGCGCAUUGCCGACUGAUUGGAAGCGCUUUGGACUGGAAAGGGGCGGGGUCACGUGUGUGCGUCAUUGCAUGGGGCUGCUUGGUUGGUCAGUGGGGAGUCGGCGCCUGCGUACUAAGACCCGUGUGCAGCAGCGGCGGCGGCGCUAGAGGCGGCGGCGGCGGCGGCAGCAGCACAGUAGCGGGUUCGGAGGCAGCAGUUGGGCUCGCGGCGAGCGGACCAGGUCGAGUCAGUGCGUUCGCGCGAGUUGGAAUCGAAGCCUCUUAAAAUGGCAGAUGAUUUGGACUUCGAGACAGGAGAUGCAGGGGCCUCAGCCACCUUCCCAAUGCAGUGCUCAGCAUUACGUAAGAAUGGUUUUGUGGUGCUCAAGGGCCGGCCAUGUAAGAUCGUCGAGAUGUCUACUUCGAAGACUGGCAAGCAUGGCCAUGCCAAGGUCCAUCUGGUUGGUAUUGAUAUUUUUACUGGGAAGAAAUAUGAAGAUAUCUGCCCGUCGACUCAUAACAUGGAUGUCCCCAACAUCAAAAGGAAUGAUUUCCAGCUGAUUGGCAUCCAGGAUGGGUACCUAUCCCUGCUCCAGGACAGUGGGGAGGUACGAGAGGACCUUCGUCUGCCUGAGGGAGACCUUGGCAAGGAGAUUGAGCAGAAGUAUGACUGUGGAGA